rnacentral:rRNA from 1 species
UACGUAGGGACCAAGCGUUGUUCGGAUUUACUGGGCGUAAAGGGCGCGUAGGCGGCGUGUCAAGUCAAUUGUGAAAUCUCCGAGCUUAACUCGGAACGGUCAAUUGAUACUGAUGUGCUAGAGUGCAGAAGGGGCAAUCGGAAUUCUUGGUGUAGCGGUGAAAUGCGUAGAUAUCAAGAGGAACACCUGAGGUGAAGACGGGUUGCUGGGCUGACACUGACGCUGAGGCGCGAAAGCUAGGGUAGCAAACGG